AGCUCCUGGAUUCAAAUUCUCCUGAUGAGCAGCUCAUUGGAGCUAGAAUUCUUCGCCAAUUUGCAAUGAGUAAGCGGUUUUCUGAUGACACCCUCCAGAAGAUUGCGAUUAAUCUCUCUGUGAUUGAAAGGUUUGUUGAAAUGUUGAACUGGAAAGAUCCACAAGAGGAAGAGAUCAGGCGAUCAGCUGCAGAAAUAUUGUCAAAAUUAGCUGGCAAAAAGCAGAACUCUCUUCGAGUAGCUGGCAUACCUGGAGCAAUGGAAUCAAUAUCAUCUCUGCUCCAAACAAAUAGGAGCUCUGGUGCUGCAACUGAUGAAAUUGGUGAAAAGAAAAUCAUUCUUGAUCAUGCAAAUUAUGGAUUCUGGACAUUUAAUCAUUUAGGACUUCUCAUUCUGAAGAAACUAGCCCGUAACCAUGAUAACUGUGGAAAGAUUGGAAAUACAAGAGGGCUGCUACCAAAGAUCAUUGAUUUUACACAUGCCGAAGAGAGUUUGUUAAGGAAUGAGCAUGACACAUCAUCUCAGAUUCUGACUGUGAGGCGCUCCCUCCAACUGGUAAAGAUGCUGGCAAGCACAACAGGUAUCACAGGGGAACAUCUUAGAAGAGAGAUUUCAGAGGUGGUUUUCACAAUCAGUAACAUCAGAGAUAUUUUACUACAUGGAGAGAAACACCCAUUGCUGCAAAAGUUGGGCAUUGACAUUCUAACCAGUCUGGCACUAGAGGAAGAUGCAACAGAGAGGAUUGGAGGCACGGGUGGAAUGCUCAAGGAAUUGUUCAACAUUUUAUUCAAAGAGGGAAUGCCAGAGAACCAGAACUGUGUAAGAAUUGCCGCAGGAGAAGCACUAGCAAUGCUCGCAUUGGAUAGCAAAAGUAAUUGCCACCGGAUCUUGAAAUUGAAGGUGGUGGACAAGCUAGUGGAAACAUUGGCAGUCCCGUUGGUUCGUGUAAAUGCUGCAAGAAUCUUAAGAAAUUUGUGUGCCUCUAGUGGAGCAGAUUGCUUCAAUCAGUUAAGAGGAGUCACAGCUGCUGCUCCCACAGUAAGUGCUUACAACAAACUAUUUUCUUCUCUUACCAAAUUUUUAUUCAAACAGAAUAAGAGUCAUAGUCCUAAUCCUGUUCUUCAAUGCAGAUUCUCAAGGCAAUCACAUCAGAAGAGUACAAAUUACAGGAAGUGAUGGUUGGACUAGCGGCACAAGUUUUCAGAUUCAUGACUCCUGAAGAAUCUAGCAACAUUUUCGAGAGAGCUGGAAUUAUGGAAAUCGAUUUAGCUAAUACAUUAGUCCAGAUUCUGAGGAAAUACCAACACCCACCAAUUAAGGUUCCGAGAAUAAGGAGGUAUGCCAUAGAGCUGGCAAUUUGGAUGAUGAGAGACAAGGCAACAAAUGUACAUAUUUUCAAGAAUCUGGGGUUGGAGAUGGUGCUAGAAAGUGUCAUUGAGACCACAGCAGAGAUUGAAAAUUUCAAUAUCUUCUCAGGCACUGUUGGAGUAAGCCGGCACAGCGUAUCAAUUCACUCACUGGCUGAAACUGCAUUGAUGUUGCUGAUGGGUGGAUAAUGCCAUACAAAAUGUCACUGAUUUCCAGAAUCAGUUUUGUGCAUUGGAGAAAAAUUUUUAAAAAAAUUUACGACACUCUUGUAAAUAUGCAUGCAUAAAAGCCAUAAAAGAUUCCUUUUCUUCAAGUAAUAAAGAUGUCAAUUAUAUCAUUCUACCUACCAAGAUUCAUAAUGCCUUCUGUUGAGAUAUCACUGUCACGUGUACUGUAGAUAAUUAAUCUAACAUUUCCUUUGAUAUAUUCUGCCAACUUCUUGUUAAAUAGGCUCAUGGUAAGAUAAAGAUGAGCACACUGAAUUAUGGGGCCGUGCCCAGACAAAAUCACACUAAAAUCAUUCAAGGAAAAACGAAUUCUGUAAAAAAUAACUAAGAAAGCUCGAUAAAAUUCGAUAAAAUGAAACAACAGAACAAUCACGAUGUUUCCGAGCACUUACAGUGGUUCAUGUCCGACCAGUGCUUCAGAGACUGAAAAAUUGAGUAGAGCAAAUCGAGCAGAGCACGAACUAGAAGAACAUGGUGUUUCUGUAAGAGACGAAGUAUGGACAAAAUGACUGUCAUGUUGCGAAGGCAAGUGAAUUUUAGUUUAACAUGGUCUAAGCUAGUUUUACA
rnacentral:lncRNA from 1 species